rnacentral:rRNA from 1 species
AUUGAACGCUGGCGGCAUGCUUUACACAUGCAAGUCGAACGGCAGCGCGGGCUUCGGCCUGGCGGCGAGUGGCGAACGGGUGAGUAAUACAUCGGAACGUGCCCAGUAGUGGGGGAUAGCUCGGCGAAAGCCGGAUUAAUACCGCAUACGACCUGAGGGUGAAAGCGGGGGAUCUUCGGACCUCGCGCGAGUGGAGCGGCCGAUGGCAGAUUAGCUAGUUGGUGGGGUAAAGGCCUACCAAGGCGACGAUCUGUAGCUGGUCUGAGAGGACGACCAGCCACACUGGGACUGAGACACGGCCCAGACUCCUACGGGAGGCAGCAGUGGGGAAUUUUGGACAAUGGGCGAAAGCCUGAUCCAGCAAUGCCGCGUGUGUGAUGAAGGCCUUCGGGUUGUAAAGCACUUUUGGCGGGAACGAAAAGGACUGUGCCAAUACCACGGUUCGAUGACGGUACCCGCAGAAUAAGCACCGGCUAACUACGUG